rnacentral:tRNA from 1 species
GGUUGAGGCUCAGUGGUAGAGCACUUGCCUAGCACGUGCAAGGCCCUGGGUUCAAUCCUCAGUAUCA